GUUUUAUUGGUGUGUAUUGCGUUAAGUUUAGGACUUAAAGAUACUUUAUAGUAUAAAAUG
rnacentral:tRNA from 1 species